UAGUCCACGCUGUAAACGAUGAUUACUAGAUGUUCGGACUUCGGUCUGAGUGUCCAAGCGAAAGCGAUAAGUAAUCCACCUGGGGAGUACGUUCGCAAGAAUGAAACUCAAAGGAAUUGACGGGGGCCCGCACAAGCGGUGGAGCAUGUGGUUUAAUUCGACGCAACGCGAAGAACCUUACCAGGGUUUGACAUCUUCUGACCGCCAUAGAGAUAUGGUUUUCUCUUCGGAGACGGAAUGACAGGUGCUGCAUGGCUGUCGUCAGCUCGUGUCGUGAGAUGUUGGGUUAAGUCCCGCAACGAGCGCAACCCUUGUCCUUAGUUGCCAUCAUUAAGUUGGGCACUCUAGGGAGACUGCCGGUGUCAAGCCGGAGGAAGGUGGGGAUGACGUCAAGUCCUCAUGGCCCUUAUAUCCUGGGCUACACACGUGCUACAAUGGUAACUACAAAGAGCAGCGAGACGGCGACGUUAAGCGAAUCUCAAAAAGGUUAUCUCAGUUCGGAUUAC
rnacentral:rRNA from 1 species